GGAGAGGUGCCCGGAGCGGCUUAUCGGGGACCGCCGAGAGGUCGGGCCCUUCGGGGCCCACGCAGGUUCAAAUCCUGCCCUCUCCG
rnacentral:tRNA from 1 species